AUCCUGGUACCUUAGGUGCAGAGGAAACACGCCAAUCCAUCCCGAACUUGGCGGUGAAACUCUGUUGCGGCGACAAUACUGCAAAGGAAGCUUUGUGGAAAGAUAGUUCGGCGCCAGGAG
rnacentral:rRNA from 1 species